GUAGGUGAACCUGCGGAAGGAUCAUUGUCGAAUAACAACCGGGGGCGUGCUCUGGUCCUGCACCGGUGGAGACACCGUGUUUGGCGGACCUUAGUACGUUUCUCAUCCACAUUCAAACCCCUGUGCACCUUUGGGAAAGGCAGGGUCGCAAGACCUUUGUCGGUCCCGUUUUUUACAAACUCUUAAGUUAUUUUGAAUGUCUGGC
rnacentral:misc_RNA from 1 species